CCUACGGGCGGCUGCAGUAGGGAAUCUUCCGCAAUGGACGCAAGUCUGAUGGAGCAACGCCGCGUGAGUGAAGAAGGGUUUCGGAUCGUAAAACUCUGUUGUUAGAGAAGAACAUGUGCUAGAGUAACUGUUAGCGCCUUGACGGUAUCUAACCAGAAAGUCACGGCUAACUACGUGCCAGCAGCCGCGGUAAUACGUAGGUGGCAAGCGUUGUCCGGAUUUAUUGGGCGUAAAGCGAGCGCAGGCGGUUCCUUAAGUCUGAUGUGAAAGCCCUCGGCUCAACCGGGGAGGUGCAUUGGAAACUGGGGAACUUGAGUGCAGAAGAGGAGAGUGGAAUUCCAUGUGUAGCGGUGGAAUGCGUAGAUAUAUGGAAGAACACCAGUGGCGAAGGCGACUCUCUGGUCUGUAACUGACGCUGAGGCUCGAAAGCGUGGGUAGCGAACAGGAUUAGAUACCCCAGUAGUC
rnacentral:rRNA from 1 species